rnacentral:lncRNA from 1 species
CUUAAUUUUUAUGUUGAAAAUAGCAACCGGGAAAUAGAGAUAAUUGUUGGAGUGAAAAAGUUUCAUAUGUCAUGGGUUAUUGGUCAGCUUAAAAUUUUGAUUAUGACCAAUGAUGCCAUGGUUGAUGUUGAUUCAACAAAAAUAAGAGCAAAUAAUAAAUAUAAUAGAAAUAAGGACUUGUGAAGAACGUGCAAUUUAGGUGAAGACAUCUUGAGUUAGAGUUUUAAGUUUCACUUUUGAGAGACAGAGAAAGUGUCUACCAAUAACUUCAUGAGAAUACAGAGAAUUUUUAUACAUCGUUCAAGAGGGUGAGAUUGAUAGAGUGAUCUUAGAUAUCGAGAGUCACAAUUAUAAAAUAGAUCUGCAUGUAACAUCAGGUCGACGAAAGACCGAU